GAGUUUGAUCAUGGCUCAGAUUGAACGCUGGCGGCAUGCCUUACACAUGCAAGUCGAACGGUAACAGGUUAAGCUGACGAGUGGCGAACGGGUGAGUAAUAUAUCGGAACGUGCCCAGUCGUGGGGGAUAACUGCUCGAAAGAGCAGCUAAUACCGCAUACGACCUGAGGGUGAAAGCGGGGGAUCGCAAGACCUCGCGCGAUUGGAGCGGCCGAUAUCAGAUUAGGUAGUUGGUGGGGUAAAGGCCCACCAAGCCAACGAUCUGUAGCUGGUCUGAGAGGACGACCAGCCACACUGGGACUGAGACACGGCCCAGACUCCUACGGGAGGCAGCAGUGGGGAAUUUUGGACAAUGGGCGCAAGCCUGAUCCAGCCAUGCCGCGUGCGGGAAGAAGGCCUUCGGGUUGUAAACCGCUUUUGUCAGGGAAGAAAAGGUUCUGGUUAAUACCUGGGACUCAUGACGGUACCUGAAGAAUAAGCACCGGCUAWCUACGUGCCAGCAKCCGCGGUAAUACGUAGGGUGCAAGCGUUAAUCGRAAUUACUGGGCGUAAAGCGUGCGCAGGCGGYUAUGCAA
rnacentral:rRNA from 1 species